rnacentral:rRNA from 1 species
GACUCCAUGAAGCUGGAUUCGCUAGUAAUCGCGCAUCAGCCACGGCGCGGUGAAUACGUUCCCGGGCCUUGCACACACCGCCCGUCAAGCCAUGGAAGCCGGGAGUGCCUGAAGUGCGUGAGCGCAAGCAGCGCCCUAAGGUAAAACCGGUGACUGGGGCUAAGUCGUAACAAGGUAAC